GCGCCCGUAGUCCAACCGGUAGACAACCGCCUCAAAAGCGGUCGAGUGCUGGUUCGAAAUCCAGCCGGGCGCACCA
rnacentral:tRNA from 1 species